GACUCUGAGACUGAAGUGGAUUUUUUUGAUAAAAAGGGUUCGAUGUUUUCUUCCUUCAGUUUUGCUUCUUCGCCUCGCGUUCCACCGGAAUUCUGGAAGGCGACGAGGAUCAGUCGCCGUGAACAGGCGGCUUCUCCAGCUGCGCUCCCUGUUCACAGAUGAUCUCCACCGGCAGCGAAAUCACAGAAAUGCAGAGAUGAAUUAAGCGGGCCGCAGUCGCCGUGAAUAGGCGAUAACUCGUUCCUCUGUUCCCGACGGUCUCUCUCUCUCUCUCAAUUUUGGAGCCAUCCUCCAGAUGAUAGGGCCAUCGAAUCGUCCCGAUAGGUUUCCUAAGGUGGAUAUGGAGAAGGAUGGCCAUCGGAUUUCCGGGAAACGUUUGCUGAGGGCUUAACCUGAGCACGCCUAUAGGAGGAAGCAAUAGCCUUCUUCCACAAUACAGGAAGCAAUUCCAGUGCCUUAUGGAACAUCUCCUGUAAUUUGCAGUCUCCAAAAACACCAACAGGCAAGCCUUUAAGGUAAUGCAUCUUCGACUGUGUCCAGGAUAGCAUUACACUCCUUGGCAGCCUCUGUCAAAUCACAAACAGAAGGUGAGUCUUCUAUGCUUCACAUUCAUUGAAUUCUGAAAUCAACUCACCCAAAAGAAAAAAGAAAAAGGAAACAUGUGAAGUUUAUAAAAAACAAAAACUAAAAAAGAGAAAAAAAACAUGCUCACAAGCAUUCAUAGGAAUUGUCAACAUAUUUAUUACCACAUGAAAUUUUGAAGUUAGGCAAUAUAUAAUCAAUUUGUUCAUUUAACUCCAAUAAUAGUAACGCUCUUUUACAACAGAAGUAGUUAAAUAUGUCAUAAAAAAAGCAAGAUCGAAUAUUCUGAAGAAGUGAACAAACACAGAAUUCAUCCCAAUGAACUUGAGCAUUUCAGAAAGUUGAAACUGUCCAGACCGUAAAAAAUUACAUGAAAAGAAGGAGAAAAAACAUUUAUUUGAAGCGUCAGUAUAAAAAAUGAAAUAAAGAUGAAAAGAUAUGGAAAGAGAAGCAGGCCACAAAAAAAGAAAAAAAAGCCUCCUUAGCAGUUGAAGUUGAAGUCUACCAGCACAUCUCACUCUUGCUGAAAUUCUAGUUCAAUGACAGUCCCAACAUUAUUCCCUUGUUGUUAUGCUGUUAUUGCUGUAUAAACUGUGUAAUUGGAUAAUAGUUCCAAUCCACCAAGGAAAGAGAAUGUUCAAAGUUCUUAAUCAA